rnacentral:rRNA from 1 species
AGGGUUUGAUUCUGGCUCAGGAUGAACGCUAGCUACAGGCUUAACACAUGCAAGUCGAGGGGCAUCGGGUGAGGGCUUUUGCCAUCACGCCGGCGACCGGCGCACGGGUGAGUAACACGUAUCCAACCUGCCGUCUACUCUUGGACAGCCUUCUGAAAGGAAGAUUAAUACAAGAUGGCAUCAUGAGUCCACAUGUUCACAUGAUUAAAGGUAUUCCGGUAGACGAUGGGGAUGCGUUCCAUUAGAUAGUAGGCGGGGUAACGGCCCACCUAGUCUUCGAUGGAUAGGGGUUCUGAGAGGAAGGUCCCCCACAUUGGAACUGAGACACGGUCCAA